CAGUCGCCGCGGUAAUACGUAGGUGGCAAGCGUUGUCCGGAAUUAUUGGGCGUAAAGCGCGCGCAGGCGGAUAGGUCAGUCUGUCUUAAAAGUUCGGGGCUUAACCCCGCGAUGAGAUGGAAACUGCCAAUCUAGAGUAUCGGAGAGGAAAGUGGAAUUCCUAGUGUAGCGGUGAAAUGCGUAGAUAUUAGGAAGAACACCAGUGGCGAAGGCGACUUUCUGGACGAAAACUGACGCUGAGGCGCGAAAGCCAGGGGAGCGAACGGGAUUAGAUACCCCAGUAGUCCCUGUCUCUUAUACC
rnacentral:rRNA from 1 species